rnacentral:tRNA from 1 species
GGGGUUGUGGCUCAGUGGUAGAGCGCUUGCCUAACAUGCAUGAGGCAUGGGGUUCGAUCUUCAGUACCU